rnacentral:rRNA from 1 species
UACAGGGGGGGCAAGCGUUGUUCGGAAUUACUGGGCGUAAAGGGCUCGUAGGCGGCCAACUAAGUCACACGUGAAAUCCCCAGGCUUAACCUGGGAACUGCGUGUGAUACUGGAUGGCUUGAAUUCGGGAGAGGGAUGCAGAAUUCCAGGUGUAGCGGUGAAAUGCGUAGAUAUCUGGAGGAACACCGGUGGCGAAGGCGGCAUCCUGGACCGGUAUUGACGCUGAGGCGCGAAAGCUAGGGGAGCAAACGGGGAUUAAG